UACGUAGGGCGCAAGCGUUAUCCGGAAUUAUUGGGCGUAAAAAGCUCGUAGGCGGUUUGUCGCGUCUGCCGUGAAAGUCCGGGGCUCAACUCCGGAUCUGCGGUGGGUACGGGCAGACUAGAGUGAUGUAGGGGAGACUGGAAUUCCUGGUGUAGCGGUGAAAUGCGCAGAUAUCAGGAGGAACACCGGUGGCGAAGGCGGGUCUCUGGACAGUUCCUGACGCUGAGGCACGAAGGCCAGGGGAGCAAAACGGG
rnacentral:rRNA from 1 species